rnacentral:rRNA from 1 species
AGUGAACGCUGGCGGUAGGCCUAACACAUGCAAGUCGAACGGCAGCACACUAAUUUCUUGCUCUUACGGGUUGCGAGUCGCGUACGUGUCAGGUUUAUAUCGUACUCUUCUUUUUCGUGUGUCUUCACGUAGGUAAACUUACUCUAAUACCGCAUCCCCCCUUCCUUUGUAAUCUUUGGAUCUUCUCACCUUUCGCGUUUGAAUUCGCCGAUUUCGGAUUAGCUAGUUGGCUGGGUAAUGUCCCACCAAGGCGACGAUCCGUAGCUGAUCUGAGAGGAUGAUCAGCCACACUGGAACUGAGACACGGUCAAGACGCCUACGGGAGGCAGCAGUGGGGAAUAUUGGACAAUGGGCGGAAGCAUGAUACAGCGAUACCGAGUGGGUGAAGAAGGACUUGGGGUUGUAAAGCCCUUUUGUUGGGAAAGAAAAGCAGCAGGUUAAUACGAAGCUGUAGUGACGGUAACGAAAGAAUAAGCACCGGCUAACUACGUG